GCCAGACUCCUACGGGAGGCAGCAGUCGGGAAUAUUGCGCAAUGGAGGAAACUCUGACGCAGUGACGCCGCGUAUAGGAAGAAGGUUUUCGGAUUGUAAACUAUUGUCGUUAGGGAAGAGAAAGGACAGUACCUAAGGAGGAAGCUCCGGCUAACUCCGUGCCAGCAGCCGCGGUAAUACGGAGGAUGCGAGCGUUAUCCGGAUUUAUUGGGUUUAAAGGGUGCGUAGGCGGAUCGUUAAGUCAGUGGUCAAAUGGGGGGGCUCACCCCCUCCCCGCCAUUGAAACUGGCGCUCUUGAGUGGAAGAGAAGUAUGCGGAAUGCGUGGUGUAGCGGUGAAAUGCAUAGAUAUCACGCAGAACCCCGAUUGCGAAGGCAGCAUGCCGGCUUCCGACUGACGCUGAAGCACGAAAGCGUGGGGAUCGAACAGGAUUAGAUACCCUAGUAC
rnacentral:rRNA from 1 species